CUGUGCCUGCGUUUACUACAAACUAUUAAAGUAUCAGAAUGUGUAUUGCGAUGUAACGCAUCUAUAUACAACUUUCAGCAACGGAUCUCUUGGCUCUCGCAUCGAUGAAGAACGCAGCGAAAUGCGAUAAGUAAUGUGAAUUGCAGAAUUCAGUGAAUCAUCGAAUCUU
rnacentral:rRNA from 1 species